GGGGGCAUAGCUCAGCUGGGAUGAGCGCUUGACUGGCAGUCAAGAGGUCAGGGGUUCGAUCCCCCUUGUCUCCA
rnacentral:tRNA from 1 species